CACUGAGAGGAUCGUAUCUGCUCAAAAUAAAUACAAGAAGAAUGUUAAUGACCAGCUGAACUGGUGUGUCAGCAGGCGAUGUUGUUCAAAGAGCCGCGGGGUCUGGGGUAUGAUUUUGCCUGCAAGCCGUGUCAUGACUGACAGCUUUGCCAGGUUCCCUUCCUGCCAUAUUGACCUUGCUGACCUGCUUCUCUACCUUGGUGGUAUCUGGGGCUUAUAUCUAUGUCUCCUCAGCUGAGUGAAGACAUGGAGGAUGAGCUCUGGCCAUCGGAAGAAUGGAAGGA
rnacentral:lncRNA from 1 species